rnacentral:lncRNA from 1 species
AGUUUUCCUAGGUCUUCCUCUACCCCUUCGGCCCUGAACCUCUGUCCCGUAGUCACAUUUUCGAACCGAAGCGUCAGUAGGCCUUCUUUGCACAUGUCCAAACCACCGGAACCGAUUUUCUCUCAUAUUUCCUUCAAUUUUGGCUACUCCUACUUUACCUCGGAUAUCCUCAUUCCCAAUCUUAUCCUUUCUCGUGUGCCCAUACAUCCCACGAAGCAUCCUCAUCUCCGCUACACCCAUUUUGUGUACGUGUUGAUGCUUCACCGCCCAACCUUCUGUGCCAUACAACAUCGCUGGCCUUAUUGCCGUCCUAUAAAAUUUUCCCUUGAGCUUCAGUGGCCUACGACGGUCACACAACACGCCGGAUGCACUUCAUCCAUCCAGCUUGUAUUCUAUGGUUGAGAUCUCCAUCUAAUUCUCCGUUCUCUUGCAAGAAAGAUCCUAGGUAGCGAAAACGGUCACUUUUUGUGAUCUUCGCUAGAUUGCUCCGGUCAUUAGUGUGGAUAAGUAUAUAAAUGGAUAGAGAUAGGAAAGCAAACACAAGAUGUACGUGGUUCACCCAGAUUGGUUACGUCCACGGAAUAGAGGAGUUCUCAUUAAUUGUGAAGGGUUUACACAAGUACAUAGGUUCAAGCUCUCCUUUAGUAAGUACAAGUGAAUGAUUUAGUACAAAUGACAUUAGGAAAUAUUGUGGGAGAAUGAUCUCGUAACCACGAAACUUCUAAGUACUGGAGUGUGGUAUCGUCUUGACUUUCCUUAUCUGUCUCAUAGGUAGAUGUGGCAUCUUCUCU